rnacentral:SRP_RNA from 1 species
CCAUACCAGCCGGGGCGUCAGCGGUGCCUUGUACCUGCAAUCCGCUACAGCAGGGGUAGUUUCCUUUAUGAGGUUUCGGUUUGUGAAAGUUGUCUCCCUAAGCAGUUUCGUUGAGGGAUGGGUCUUGCGCAAUCGGAUGCUGUGAACCAUGUCAGGUGGGGAACCAAGCAGCAUUAAGCAGAGUGUUUCGGUGUGUUGCAAGGGUGCCUGUCCGGAGGAAGUGUCUUUCGGUUGCGUUCAUAAGCUUAAAUCGAAUCAAAGGUGUAUGG